UGCGCACUCUCCAAUGGUGGUCCAAAAAAAUUGAUGUUGCUCCAGGUGUGAUAGAGCCAGUAAUGAAAUUGUUGACGGCAGCAACUGAGCUAACACAGGCGCAAAAAGUUUGUGUACUCAGUUUUGAUGAGAUGAAAAUACGAAGGACUUAUUGCUACGACAAAUCAACAGACUCCACAUUGCCUCCUGUUAACUACGUUCAGGUGGCAAUGAUAAGAGGUUUGAUAAGUAAAUGGAAACAGCCUGUAUUCUACGAAUACGACUGCAAAAUGACAAAAGAGAUAUUGUUCGAAAUAUUGUCGAACGUGAAGAAAUGCGGAUUCAGUGUUGUUGCUUUUGUAAGCGAUUUGGGUGGAGCAAAUAGAGUGCUAUGUAGUGAUCUAGAGAUAAAUGUGGAAAAGCGUUGGUACAUUCAUUAAACAAUUAAAAAAAUUACGAUAAAAGAAUUUUAAUUAUGUUAUUAUUAUUUUUUCUUUUUUAGGUUCUCACACAACGGAGACAGGAUUGUGGUUUUUGCUGAUGUCCCCCACCUAAUAAAACUUCAAAGAAAUCAUUUUAUUGAUAAUGGCUUCACUAUUAAUGGAACAGUUGUCAGAAAGGAUAUAAUUCUGAAGCUACUUUCACUUACAUCCAACGAGCUUUCCAUCACCCAUAAAAUUUCGCAAAAACAUUUGAGUGUAACAGGAGCGGAGAGACAGAAGGUUAAACUAGCCACAAAAUUGUUUUCCCACACAAUUGCUCAAGCUAUAACUCGAGCGGCUAGUUUAGGCUUACUAAGCGACGAGAAUUGGGAAGAAUGUUAUCGGCUUUUUAAAAUUACAAAUGACUGGUCCGACAUAAUGAAUGUCAGGGUGCCCAAAGAUGGAGUGAGGGAACGCUUGCACGCCUAUGGUUUGGCUUUGAACACCCAAAAUAAUAUUUUGAAUCAGAUGACGGAGUUGAUGUGAUCAAUG